AGAGUUUGAUCCUGGCUCAGGAUAAACGCUGGCGGCGUGCCUAACACAUGCAAGUCGCACGCCCUUCGCAAGAAGGGAGUGGCGGACGGGUGAGUAACACGUGGGAACCUACCCUUUGGUGAGGGAUACCGGCGAGAAAUCGCCGACAAGCCCGCAUAGGCUCUUUCUUGCGAAAGGGGGAGCAAAGCCGCAAGGCGCCAGAGGAUGGGCCCGCGGCCGAUUAGCUAGCUGGUGGGGUAAAAGCUCACCAGGGCGACGAUCGGUAGCUGGUCUGAGAGGACGAGCAGCCACACUGGGAUUGAGAACGGCCCAGACUCCUACGGGGGGCAGCAGUGAGGAAUUUUCCGCAAUGGACGCAAGUCUGACGGAGCAACGCCGCGUGCAGGAGGAAGGUCUGCGGAUCGUAAACUGCUUUUAUCAGGGAAGAGAACGGACGGUACCUGAUGAAUAAGCCCCGGCUAACUACGUGCCAGCAGCCGCGGUAAUACGUAGGGGGCGAGCGUUGUCCGGAAUUAUUGGGCGUAAAGGGCACGCAGGCGGUCUGCCAAGUUCGGGGUGAAAGUCACCAGCUUAACUGGUGAAGGACUUCGAAAACUGGCGGACUUGAGAGCGAGAGAGGGACACGGAACUCCGGGUGGAGUGGUGAAAUGCGUAGAGAUCCGGAAGAACACCAAAGGCGAAGGCAGUGUCCUGGCUGAUACCUGACGCUCAGAGGCGACAGCGAGGGGAGCGAACGGGAUUAGAUACCCCGGUAGUCCUCGCCGUAAACGAUGACCACGAGAUGUCCGGGGGAUCGACCCCCUGGGUGUCGCAGCUAACGCAGUCAGUGGUCCGCCUGGGGAGUACGGUCGCAAGAUUAAAACUCAAAGGAAUUGACGG
rnacentral:rRNA from 1 species